UACGAAGGGGGCUAGCGUUGCUCGGAAUCACUGGGGCGUAAAGGGUGCGUAGGCGGGUCUUUUAAGUCAGGGGUGAAAUCCUGGAGCUCAACUCCAGAACUGCCUUUGAUACUGAGGAUCUUGAGUUCGGGGAGAGGUGAGUGGAACUGCGAGUGUAGAGGUGAAAUUCGUAGAUAUUCGCAAGAACACCAGUGGGCGAAGGCGGCUCACUGGCCCGAUACUG
rnacentral:rRNA from 1 species